rnacentral:rRNA from 1 species
GACAGAGGUCCCGAGCGUUGUUCGGAUUCAUUGGGCGUAAAGGGUGUGUAGGAGGCCAGGUAAGUCAGGUGUGAAAUCUCAGAGCUUAACUCUGAAACUGCGCUUGAUACUGCUUGGCUAGAGGAUCGGAGGGGGUAUCGGAAUUUAUGGUGUAGCAGUGAAAUGCGUAGAUAUCAUAAGGAACACCGGUGGCGAAGGCGGAUACCUGGAAGAUUCCUGACUCUGAAACACGAAAGCCAGGGGAGCAAACGGG